GUCCCGGAUUGUAAGAGGGAUGUCCGACUGCCGGUUUAGGCCUGAUCUGUGGUUUAGGCCCAAUCCAUGGAUCGGGCCUAAACCGGCAGUUGGACAUCCCCCAAGGGG
rnacentral:pre_miRNA from 1 species